CUGAGGGUGAAGCUGCAAUCAUCUCCUCAGAAACCACAGAAUGUCACAAGUCAUGACUUUAUGCUUACUUGUCAGACACUGAAACUAUACUAAAAGUUCAAAGCACAAAAUGAAAGUAAAAACAGACUGAAUAUCCGGUCAUCUGUAGUUGAGCCUUGGGUCAAGGUGCCUUCUAUCACACAUAGCCAUGUCCCAAAUGUGCUUUCAACUUGUAUUUUAGUAUUAAGGAAUUAUAAC